GGGUGAGGAAUGCAUCGGAAUCUACUCUGUCGUGGGGGAUAACGUAGGGAAACUUACGCUAAUACCGCAUACGACCUACGGGUGAAAGCAGGGGAUCUUCGGACCUUGCGCGAUUGAAUGAGCCGAUGCCCGAUUAGCUAGUUGGCGGGGUAAGAGCCCACCAAGGCGACGAUCGGUAGCUGGUCUGAGAGGAUGAUCAGCCACACUGGAACUGAGACACGGUCCAGACUCCUACGGGAGGCAGCAGUGGGGAAUAUUGGACAAUGGGCGCAAGCCUGAUCCAGCCAUACCGCGUGGGUGAAGAAGGCCUUCGGGUUGUAAAGCCCUUUUGUUGGGAAAGAAAAGCAUUCGGUUAAUACCCGAUUGUUCUGACGGUACCCAAAGAAUAAGCACCGGCUAACUUCGUGCCAGCAGCCGCGGUAAUACGAAGGGUGCAAGCGUUACUCGGAAUUACUGGGCGUAAAGCGUGCGUAGGUGGUUGUUUAAGUCUGUCGUGAAAGCCUGGGCUCAACCUGGGAAUUGCGAUGGUAACUGGGCGACUAGAGUGUGGCAGAGGGUAGUGGAAUUCCUGGUGUAGCAGUGAAAUGCGUAGAGAUCAGGAGGAACAUCCGUGGCGAAGGCGACUGCCUGGGCCAACACUGACACUGAGGCACGAAAGCGUGGGGAGCAAACAGGAGUAGAUACCUGGUAGUCCACGCCCUAAACGAUGCGAACUGG
rnacentral:rRNA from 1 species